rnacentral:rRNA from 1 species
AGGACGAACGCUGGCGGCGUGCUUAACACAUGCAAGUGGAGCGACGAACCAGGCUUCGGCCUGGGGCAGAGCCGCGAACGGGUGAGUAACACGUGGGUAACCUGCCUCGAUGACCGGGACAACCCGGAGGAAACCCGGGCUAAUACCGGAUGUGCUCCUUCACAUCAGUGAAGACAGGAAAGGAAGCUUCGGCCUCCGCAUCGAGAUGGGCCCGCGGCCCAUUAGCUUGUUGGUGAGGUAACGGCUCACCAAGGCUGCGAUGGGUAGCUGGUCUGAGAGGACGAUCA